UUUGGUGGAGGAACCAGACUGGAUGUUGGAAGUGAUGUCCGUCCCACCCUGACGGUGCUUCCCCCCUCCAGUGAGGAGCUGCAGCAGGGGAAGGCCACGCUCAUGUGCCUGGCCAACAAGGGCUUCCCCUCAGACUGGAGUCUGGCCUGGAAGGUGGACGGCAGCAGCAGCAGCAGCAGCUGGGAGGAGAGCAGGAGCCCCGGGGUGCUGGAGAAGGACGGCCGCUACAGCUGGAGCAGC